AGAGUUUGAUCCUGGCUCAGGAUGAACGCUGGCGGUAUGCUUAACACAUGCAAGUCGAACGAAAGUAUUUAUACUUUAGUGGCGAACGGGUGCGUAAUACGUGAGAAUCUGCCCUUAGGAGGAGGAUAACUGCUGGAAACGGCUGCUAAUACUCCAUAUGUCGAGAGAUGAAAUAAUUUAUUGCCUAAGGAUGAGCUCACGCCUGAUUAGCUAGUUGGUGAGGUAAUGGCUCACCAAGGCCACGAUCAGUAGCUGGUUUGAGAGAACGAUCAGCCACACUGGGACUGAGACACGGCCCAGACUCCUCCGGGAGGCAGCAGUGAGGAAUUUUCCGCAAUGGGCGAAAGCCUGACGGAGCAAUACCGCGUGAGGGAUGAAGGAUUUUGGUCUGUAAACCUCUUUUCUCAAGAAAGAAGUUCUGACGGUACUUGAGGAAUAAGCAUCGGCUAACUCCGUGCCAGCAGCCGCGGUAAUACGGGGGAUGCAAGCGUUAUCCGGAAUCAUUGGGCGUAAAGCGCCUGUAGGUUGUUUAAUAAGUCUGUUGUUAAAGCCUAGGGCUUAACCCUAGAAAAGCAAUGGAAACUAUUAGACUAGAGUAUGGUAGGGGUAGAGGGAAUUUCUAGUGUAGCGGUGAAAUGCGUAGAUAUUAGAAAGAACACCGGUGGCGAAAGCGCUCUACUGGACCAUUACUGACACUCAGAGGCGAAAGCUAGGGUAGCAAAAGGGAUUAGAUACCCCUGUAGUCCUAGCCGUAAACGAUGGAUACUAGAUGUUGUGCAUUAAGGACAGUAUCGUAGCUAACGCGUUAAGUAUCCCGCCUGGGGAGUACGCUCGCAAGGGUGAAACU
rnacentral:rRNA from 1 species